ensembl:lncRNA
GACGGCGUCGAAAGUGUUUUAUUAUGUUUUACUCUCUGUCUGUCUCUCUCUCUAUAUAAAUACAUACACACUAAGCAAUAAAAAAUUAUAAAAUGUGUCCUCAUUCAAAUGUACCAUCUGUUCCUGUUUCCAUUGACACUCCGAACCAUGCAGGUUUUUUUUUUUUUAAUAAUCUUUUAAAGAUGUAUUAUGUAAAAUAGGAUGCUGCGCUAUGGCUAAAAUUAGCGCUUCCUUAAUUUUUGAAUUUCUGUACAGAGAGGUCACGCAGUGACGUAUUGACAUUCUACUGAUCCCCCGUCUUCACGUGAUGCGAAUUCGCAGGUCAGAGUUCACCAAACUUGAACUUUGGAACGCAGCGAAAUGCGAAAUUUUUCGCAUGAGCUUGCGUUUCCGGUCUGACGCAUUCGCAUACGUAUGAAUGGAAGUCAAUGGAACGAAAAGUGCAGUGUGACCGCCCCUUUACAUUUCGGAUUUGCCGCCUUCACGCCGUUCGCGCCCGUAUUUUGGCGCCGCUGCGGUGACCGGAAGAAGAAGCUGGCUGAGGCAUUCUGGGAUGCUGGCGGACCCAACAACACUUCUACCGUGAUGGCGACCAAUAUCGAGCAGAUUUUCAGGGAUUUUGUAAUGAAUAAGAUUAAAGAAAUCGAAGAUGAGACUCAAGAAAACAGUGUGACAGAUGAGCCACAGUCUGAGCCUGUGACGGAGACGAGAGAAGACGGACUGAAGGAGGAAACAAUGAGCGCACCAACAGAUAAAGCCACGCAUGCUGACCCCCGAGAUAGCCACGAUAAAGAGGACACCAGCACCAAACACAGGAAGAGUAAGAAGCACAAAAAACACAAAAGCAAAAAGAAGAAAAAGAAACACAGAGAAGGAAAAGACAGCAGCUCAGACACACAGUCCGACAAAGAGACUCAAGAAAGUGGAAAGAAAAAGAAAAGAAAGAAAAAGAAAAAAAGCAAAGAUGCAGACAAAGUCAAAAGGUCUGGCUCUCGAUCCGAAAGCUCUUCGGCGUCUGCUUCCGAGUCCGAGUCCGAGUCGAAAGCACCGAGUGAAAAUACGAAGCCGUCUUCAGCAGCUCGGUCUUCGAAGCCCGAGCUCAAAGACUCGUGUGCUGUUGGGAAGCCUCGGGAGUUGCCUGACAUUAUUCCCAAGAUGGAGAAUUCGGUCCACGGGAGCACGGCACAUCAAAGGCCCGAGGAGAAGAAAAGAAGUUCUAGCAGGACAUCGAAAAGUAAGGAGGGCUCCAGAGGACGACGAUCCAGAUCUAGAUCACCCCGACGGAAGUCAGAACGCAGAUCGAGGUCCCCAAAACGACAACGCCGAUCCAAGUCUAGAAAUAGCUCCAAAAAGAGAUCUCACCAACGGAGAGAGAGAAGUAGAUCGAGGUCUAAGACUCGCUCCAGAUCUCAUUCUGUCAGGAGAGGCAAGCGCUCAAGAUCCAGGCGGACCAGAUCGAGGUCCGUCGUGAUCUUAAGGAGGAACAGAAGGUCUGCGUCGAAAUCUAGGUCUCGAAGCAGGUCCGUUCCGAAGUCUGAUUUGAAACCGGAAACUGAGUUGGAGCCAGUGGACGAAAGUAAAAGUUCUGAAAUGCAAACAGAUGUGUCUCAAGACACAACUGAGAAUAGAGAAAGUCCGACAGUGGCUGUAAACUCUGAAACGCCGUCCAACAUCUCGAAUCCGGGCUUUAAAGGAUCCUGGCGACCGGUUCCCUUCUUGCCUGAGACCAAGUCUUCCCAAAAGUGCAUUACACCAGAGGUGCCUUCAGGAGUGACCGAUGUGUCCGAAGAACCUUCGACGUCCUCCACCACUGCGCCAGAAGAUUCCCAGAGUGCCGCCAACCCCGAGAAGAAAGAAACCAGCGCCAACCCAACUUUGACUUCAAGCGAGACAUCGGCGUCCAAAUCUCCCAGUCACAGAAUAUCCAGAGCGGCCGCGCGGUCCAGAUCAAAGUCGCCAGCGAAGAAGAGAAAAUCCAGGUCGCCUUCGCGGAAGUCUCGCUCGCCCCCUGAGAGGAAAUCGCACAAGUCCGGGACGAGAAGCAAGCGCUCGAAGUCGAGGUCGCCUAAGAAGAAGAAGAAGUCGAGAUCUCGCUCGCGCGGCCGUCGGAGGAAGUCUCGGACCCCGGACAGAAGCAGACGGUCGAAGUCGAGGAAGAGGUCGCGCUCGCGUUCGAAGAGGAGAUCCCGAUCCGGCUCGCGCUGGAGGAGAGGUUUCGGAAGCCGGGCGCUGAACCAGCGGGACCGAUGGAAACGGGAACCCAGUCGAUCUCCGGUCCUCAUCCUCCGGAAGAAAAGAUCAGCAUCCGGGACUCGACGCAGCACCAGCAAGACGCCGCCACGUCUUACAGAACUUGAUAAGGAGCAGUUGCUGGAAAUAGCGAAGGCUAAUGCUGCGGCUAUGUGUGCCAAGGCCGGCGUGCCGAUCCCAGAGAGUCUCAGGCCCAGAUCUGUUCUUCAGAUGCCCUUGCAAACCCCAAAUCCCACAUCCUUGUCUUUACAGUUGCCAGUGAUGUCAAGCAUGACGAUGAACGCUGCUAUGGCUAGUAUGACCGCCGCCACCAUGACCGCUGCUUUGUCCAGCAUGGGUGCUCUGGCUUCCUUGCCACAGCUGGCCCCGUUACCGACAAUCGUCAACAAGCCGCCGUCCUCCGCCACACCCAACCUCGCCAGUAUCGAAGAAGCCAAAAAGAAAGUCACCAAGCAGGCGAACAGCUUCAGCAUUAAAGAGCUGACCGAGAGAUGCAAGAAGAUCGCCGAGAGCAAGGAAGAGAUGGCCAUCGCUAAACCACACGUGUCAGACGAUGAGGACGAUGAAAGGCUAGUCGGAGCUUCCCUCAAGGAGAAUAAAGGCAUCGCGUUCAGUCUCGGUGUAAGUCUCGACGUUUUGCUUCAAAACUGUUACUGUCCUUCAUACUCGAGUUUAGGGGUUAGCUUUAAUCCUGUUACAUCUUGGCAUAAGCUGUUUAUGUUAUAAACAUGAAUUUUGCAUUGAAUUAUGCAGCUUGAUAGUUUAACCCUAUUAUAUCUGUUUUUUAUACUGCAAAUUAUAUGUGCUGUGAUGCCUAAAUUAACUUGUAGCAUUUUUAAAAAAAUCAGUUUCACCAAAAAUUUACAAAAAAAAAAAAACCACACAAAAAAUUGCAUUUGCAUUUUGUUUCUUUUAUCUUUUAUUUAGACAAAAUAGUAUAGAAUUUUAAUAUAUUUCUGUAGACAGAAUUUUGUCAAAUUAUGAGAGCUUUUUUUUUUUUUUUUUUUUUUUUUUUUUUUUUAGGAUAUAGAAUUUGAAUGUUUCUGAUUAAACAUGAAUUUUAUCUCAGUUUUUUAAAAAUCUUUUUUCAUUGGUCGAUUUUGGA